AACCCUAAUAUCAACUCUCACUCUUGUAUGAUGGUUAACGGUAGAGGAGAUCAUUCCGAGAUCGAUGUUAUGAGUCAAGGUGGUGGUGAUUUGAACAUGGUUGAUGUAGAAAAUGGAAUUAGAGAAUCAAACUAUUUGGUGUUCCAUCCCCCUGCUACAGAUCAAUCUAGGAGUGCAGCAAAUCAGGCUCCCAAGCAACCGCAUAUAGCAUUAUCAUCAGAUGAGGAUGACGAGGAUGAUUUCCGUCCUAUAAGCGAAACUUUGGGUCUAUCAUCGAAAUCACGAAAGGAAGAUAACAAUCAAGAUGUUCUUCUCAUUGACGGUUCAGAAGAACCUUUGGUUAGUAAAGCUUCCAAAUCUGUGUCCAAGACUAAGAAGGCUCGAGCGGAAGUGGAAACUCAAGUCCUAGAAGAAGCCGGAGAGAAGAGUCAAGGGGCAGAUGUUGACAAAAACUUAGAAGAUUCAAAAGUUAAAAAGUCUCCCAAAUCGAAGUCUCCAAAAAAGAAACUGAAAGUAGAGACUCAAAGCCAUAAAGAAGAGACUGAUAUUGAAGAGGAAGCUGUGAAGGCAGAAGUAACUGAGAAGAGUGCAAUACCUCAUGGCUCUUCAAGAUUGCCUUUGAUGAUGGCAGAGAAAGUCCAGCGGUCAAAGGCACUUGUUGAAUGUGAAGGAGACUCCAUAGAUAUGAGUGGAGAUAUUGGUACUGUUGGACGAUUAGUAAUUUCAGACACGCCAUGUGGUAGCAGUGAACUGCUUUUGGAUUUAAAAGGAACCAUAUACAAAACAACAAUAGUUCCAUCGAGAACAUUUUGUGUUGUCAACUUUGGUCAAACGGAAGCAAAGAUAGAAGCUAUCAUGGAUGACUUCAUUCAACUGAAACCACACUCCAAUGUUUAUGAGUCGGAGACAAUGAUUGAAGGGACACUAGAGGGAUACUCAUUUGAUUCUGACGAAGAGGCAGAUAAAAUUCCAAAGCCUAAAAUACAAGGAGAAGAAGGUGAAGAACAAGCCAAUGGAAAGGUCAAGGGAAAAGCUGAUAAAGCAUUGGGCGUCAAAAAGAAGGGCAAAAUAACCGCUAAGCCACCAGCUAAGAGAGUAAAAAAGAAAGCCCCAGUUUCCAAGAAAGGCAAGGGCUCCAAGAAAUAAAAGUCAAAUAUGUCGCCGCAUCGGACACUCUGUACAAGGUCGGAUAACGCUCGUAUGCGAGCCAUUUACAGUGAGUGUUGGUUGUUUAUCCAUUCUGGUGGUAAGAAAGUUGCAUUGCUGUCGGGCAAAAGGCUUUCAUAUGAUCUUUGGCAUCUUUGAUCGCCUAAGUCGUGCUAGUGGUAGGUCAAUAAAGUCAAAACUCCAAAUGUUAGAGUUCCUUUGUGCCUUCUUGGGACCUUGUUAUCAAUUUUAAUCUUCUUCAAACAAACAAAAAAUGAUCAGUUAUGAAGACCCAUUUCACAUUUUGUCAAUCAUUCAGUUGCAUUGUUGUCGGGCGAAAGGUUUUCAUAUGAUUUUUGGCAUCUUUGAUCUCUCAAGUCCUUAAAUUUUAUACUUUUGCUGUCAGUAUUUUUCAAAUUAAGCACAAUUUUGUAGAACAGUAAAUAAAUACUUUACAAAGAAACCAAGAUAUUUACUUAUACCAUUUUCUAUACGCUACAUCGGCUUCUUACAUUCUCCACAUAUUUACAAGAAGGAUUACGCAAUCCACUCCUUUGUCUCUAUGUUAGAUAAAUUUGAAUUAUGUGCUAAUAAGAUUCUUUAUGAAAUGCAGUUCCUAUAACUGCAGUGCAGAUGUCAGAGCUCGGACGGGCUAGAAAAAUGUAAGGAUGAGUAGAAGAAUGAUCGACUUGGGGAAUGCUAGAUUGUUCGAAGAGGAGGGAACCACUGCCAUAACCUCUCCAUAACUGUUGUCACGUAUAGGCUCAGAAUUGACUCCAUCAUCUUGCCUCCCCACUCUGCAUGGGAACAGAACAAGAUACAGAAAUUACAA